GAUGAACGCUGGCGGCGUGCUUAACACAUGCCAGUCGAACGAAGCACCUUGAUUCGAUUCUUCGGAUGAAGAUCUUGGUGACUGAGUGGCGGACGGGUGAGUAACGCGUGGGUAACCUGCCUCAUACAGGGGGAUAACAGUUAGAAAUGACUGCUAAUACCGCAUAAGACCACAGCACCGCAUGGUGCAGGGGUAAAAACUCCGGUGGUAUGAGAUGGACCCGCGUCUGAUUAGGUAGUUGGUGGGGUAACGGCCUACCAAGCCGACGAUCAGUAGCCGACCUGAGAGGGUGACCGGCCACAUUGGGACUGAGACACGGCCCAAACUCCUACGGGAGGCAGCAGUGGGGAAUAUUGCACAAUGGGGGAAACCCUGAUGCAGCGACGCCGCGUGAGCGAUGAAGUAUUUCGGUAUGUAAAGCUCUAUCAGCAGGGAAGAAAAUGACGGUACCUGACUAAGAAGCACCGGCUAAAUACGUG
rnacentral:rRNA from 1 species